rnacentral:rRNA from 1 species
GGAAACAUUAAAAGUCGAGCGGACAGAUGGGAGCUUGCUCCCUGAUGUUAGCGGCGGUUGGGUGAGUAACACGUGGGUAACCUGCCUGUAAGACUGGGAUAACUCCGGGAAACCGGGGCUAAUACCGGAUGCUUGUUUGAACCGCAUGGUUCAGACAUAAAAGGUGGCUUCGGCUACCACUUACAGAUGGACCCGCGGCGCAUUAGCUAGUUGGUGAGGUAACGGCUCACCAAGGCGACGAUGCGUAGCCGACCUGAGAGGGUGAUCGGCCACACUGGGACUGAGACACGGCCCAGACUCCUACGGGAGGCAGCAGUAGGGAAUCUUCCGCAAUGGACGAAAGUCUGACGGAGCAACGCCGCGUGAGUGAUGAAGGUUUUCGGAUCGUAAAGCUCUGUUGUUAGGGAAGAACAAGUGCCGUUCAAAUAGGGCGGCACCUUGACGGUACCUAACCAGAAAGCCACGGCUAACUACGUGCCAGCAGCCGCGGUAAUACGUAGGUGGCAAGCGUUGUCCGGAAUUAUUGGGCGUAAAGGGCUCGCAGGCGGUUUCUUAAGUCUGAUGUGAAAGCCCCCGGCUCAACCGGGGAGGGUCAUUGGAAACUGGGGAACUUGAGUGCAGAAGAGGAGAGUGGAAUUCCACGUGUAGCGGUGAAAUGCGUAGAGAUGUGGAGGAACACCAGUGGCGAAGGCGACUCUCUGGUCUGUAACUGACGCUGAGGAGCGAAAGCGUGGGGAGCGAACAGGAUUAGAUACCCUGGUAGUCCACGCCGUAAACGAUGAGUGCUAAGUGUUAGGGGGUUUCCGCCCCUUAGUGCUGCAGCUAACGCAUUAAGCACUCCGCCUGGGGAGUACGGUCGCAAGACUGAAACUCAAAGGAAUUGACGGGGGCCCGCACAAGCGGUGGAGCAUGUGGUUUAAUUCGAAGCAACGCGAAAGAACCUUACCAGGUCUUGACAUCCUCUGAAAAUCCUAGAGAUAGGACGUCCCCUUCGGGGGCAGAGUGACAGGGGGUGCAUGGUUGCCCUCAGCUCCUGUCCUGAGAUGUUGGGUUAAGUCCCCCAACGAGCGCCACCCUUGAUCUUAGUUCGCAGCUUUCAGUUGGGCACUCUAAGGGGAUUGCCGGUGACAAACCGGAGGAAGGUGGGGAUGACGUCAAAUCUUCAUGCCCCUUAAGACCGGGGCUACCCACGGGUUACAAUGGGCCAAAACAAAAGG